rnacentral:rRNA from 1 species
UACGGAGGGGGCGAGCGUUAUUCGGAAUUAUUGGGCGUAAAGGGCGCGUAGGCGGCCCGGUAAGUCAAAGGUGAAAUCCCUCGGCUCAACUGAGGAACUGCCUUUGAAACUGUCGGGCUUGAGGCCGGGAGGGGGUAGCGGAAUUCCCAGUGUAGCGGUGAAAUGCGUAGAUAUUGGGAGGAACACCAGUGGCGAAGGCGGCUACCUGGACCGGUACUGACGCUGAUGCGCGAAAGCGUGGGUAGCAAACAGG